GGCUGUGGAAGGACUCCCUCUGGAAAGCAAAAGAAUGCAGCGACCUACUGUGUCCCUCAUACACUAAGGUGAGUUUGAGUUUUACCACCGCUUUCAAGGCCGACUGGGUCUGACUUGAUCUUUUGUUGUUUGUUUUUUUUUCUUCACUCUGAGAUCAUCUUCUCACUCAGGUUAUUGAGGAACAACCCUUUUGUGUCAGACUCAUAUCUGGAAACAUAUACCCAGUUCCAAGUAUCUGGAUGCACUGGAGAGCUCCUCAAAGGGGAUUUCAGAUGGAUCCUCAAUAAAAUCCUCCACGAGACUCCUUUUGUGUAGAAGAAAUAACGCUUUUCAUCCAGAACGAGGGAAUCCUGCAGAUGAACAGUCUACCCCUAGAGGUCACUGCGAUCCAGGGAUUUUAGUUGUGCAGGAUGCAUCUCUGUUGGACAGUGACAUCAAGUCCAAGGAUCAUGUACCACUGGGUGCACUUUUCUCUCAGAGGCUGAAAACGCUGACAAAACAGCAUGAUUCAAAAGGACUCCGAGAUCUCAUCUCUGGCAAGCAAAUCACCGGAGAGUCUUCAGCUGAAGACAUCUGUGAUUUCUACCACGAGAGUGAGCAAGGACAGCCCUGGACACCUACAGCGUCUCAAUCAGAGGGUGACAGACGUUGCAACAGCAUACAGACCGUCUUCAGUAUGCUGCUGUCAGUCACUGGUGACUGAAGCUAUUCGUGGUCCAUAAUAAUGCACAGCUGCUCUGCAGGAGAAAUACCAAAGCUAAACAAACACUGCGCAGCACUAAUCAUCUAAUUUGGUUUUGGCAUUCUUAAAGUUCUGAUAAAUUCAUUUUAAAUAAGAGAGAUUGUUUUUCUUUCCAGUACAUUGAAGUGAUUUCAUGGGUUGUGUAACCUUCUUCCAAGCAAAUCAUACUUUCUGUGGACUUUUCCGAGACUGUUCGCUGAGACUUUCCUUCUUAUGAUGUUUACUGUUAACCGUUUGGAAGCGCAACAGAAAAUGAUGGGGGUUUAUUUCUCACUAUGAAGUACACUGUAAAUUUGAAAAAAUGAAAGCAGGGAACAGCUAAGUGAGAAUUAUUUUUUUUAUAUAUAACGUGUUCACCAGUUUCCUGGGCAAAGUUUAGAUAUAAUACAACAGGGGGG
ensembl:lncRNA